CACAUGCAAGUCGAGCGGAUGAAGGGAGCUUGCUCCUGGAUUCAGCGGCGGACGGGUGAGUAAUGCCUAGGAAUCUGCCUGGUAGUGGGGGAUAACGUCCGGAAACGGGCGCUAAUACCGCAUACGUCCUGAGGGAGAAAGUGGGGGAUCUUCGGACCUCACGCUAUCAGAUGAGCCUAGGUCGGAUUAGCUAGUUGGUGGGGUAAAGGCCUACCAAGGCGACGAUCCGUAACUGGUCUGAGAGGAUGAUCAGUCACACUGGAACUGAGACACGGUCCAGACUCCUACGGGAGGCAGCAGUGGGGAAUAUUGGACAAUGGGCGAAAGCCUGAUCCAGCCAUGCCGCGUGUGUGAAGAAGGUCUUCGGAUUGUAAAGCACUUUAAGUUGGGAGGAAGGGCAGUAAGUUAAUACCUUGCUGUUUUGACGUUACCAACAGAAUAAGCACCGGCUAACUUCGUGCCAGCAGCCGCGGUAAUACGAAGGGUGCAAGCGUUAAUCGGAAUUACUGGGCGUAAAGCGCGCGUAGGUGGUUCAGCAAGUUGGAUGUGAAAUCCCCGGGCUCAACCUGGGAACUGCAUCCAAAACUACUGAGCUAGAGUACGGUAGAGGGUGGUGGAAUUUCCUGUGUAGCGGUGAAAUGCGUAGAUAUAGGAAGGAACACCAGUGGCGAAGGCGACCACCUGGACUGAUACUGACACUGAGGUGCGAAAGCGUGGGGAGCAAACAGGAUUAGAUACCCUGGUAGUCCACGCCGUAAACGAUGUCGACUAGCCGUUGGGAUCCUUGAGAUCUUAGUGGCGCAGCUAACGCGAUAAGUCGACCGCCUGGGGAGUACGGCCGCAAGGUAAAACUCAAAGGAAUUGACGGC
rnacentral:rRNA from 1 species